UUCAGGGUGAUGCCUUUCAGUGCCCAGUCCAGGCCCUUGCGGUACUGCAGUCCAUAGUCUUGGAACUCUAUAGUGCCAGUCUGAGGCCAGGCCAGAGGCAGGGAACUGCCCUCCACGGUCCACACAGCCUGGUUCCACAGGUCUCCAGCUUCCAGAGGGGUACGAUAACCUUUAACCACCAGCCUGAGGGGAACAGCGAUGAUACACUGAGUGUGCAAAUUAAGAACACCUUCCUAAUACUGACUUGCACCUGGUCAGUCUAUGUCUUGGAAAGAGCAGGUGUUCUUCAGGUUUUGUACACUCAGUGUGUAAGUUAUACACAAACACCCACGUACAUUAUAAGAUUUACAGUAUAAAAGAUUUUUCAAACAAGUCAACAUGUUGUUUGAGAGUUUCAUUAAACCAUCUUACCCAGUAAACCACCAGAAGAGCAUCUUCGACAGGAAAGAGGCAUCCUUGACUGGACAUGGGUUCUGAAACAGAUUAGAGGGUGAAUGUCACUGACUUUGACCACCAUGUAAAUCUCUCAAUGUUUAAAGGCUUUGGUAAAACAUAGGACUCCUCUAUGGCUGACUUUGAUGGUUCUAUGAUGUACUUGUGGAGUCUAUUUACUGGAUGCUAAUGAGUUUAAACAGCAUAAUGCAGUAAGGUGGUCCUCAGUGGAAACUGCAUGUGUAAAUAGCUGGAGACUGUGGACAGGAGUAAAGCGCGUAAACAGUUAGAGUUAGUGUCGGCGCUAGGGUUGGGAGGAGAAUUUGAGGUCCAUGCUGGGUGGUAACGUGUCGUCACUGUGGCACCAUGCUGAACACACACACCUACACACUAGCAAUUUGUGCUCAUGCUCGAUCUUUGGUAACCUCUCUUCCCUCUACCGCCCCCUCACCGGAGGUCUUACUCUGUCUCUCUCUCUCCAUCUCUCUUGCUCUUCCUCUCCAUUCCUUUGCUUUCUCUGUUGUUGUCUGACUAUGAGAAUCUCUGACCAAGAUGUGGGGGGAGCAGAGAACACACUAGGGUGUGGCUCUUACACCAGGCUGUGGCUUCCAGUCCUCUGAACCUCACUACCGCUGGCCGACCAGGACAGAUGCUGAGAGACAUUUAGACAUUUAUUUUUUGGGACAGUUUGUUUUCUUGUUUUUCUCUCAAGAUACAGUAUCAUGUAAUGUCAUGGACUAUAUAGGCUUCACUGUAGCUACCACUGCCAAAGUCAGGUUGAUAAUCGCUAUGGUUGUUUGGUUGGGACAUGAUUCAUCAGUCUUUUUUGAUUGGACCGACCGUGAGAGAGUAUGAUUCCGUAAACCGCAUAAAUACAGAACUGCGUUGGUGUAGUAGUGGUGUAACGGUCGUAGCAUGGUUCAUGUGGUGUGUGAGUAAUGUGUAUGGAAUGGACAGAGUAGACAACACACAUUCAUUCAUUAAUUCACACUGUCCUCAUAGGAAAGUGGGCAGAGAGAGGAAGUGAAUCACUUGAGCUUCCACCAAAAGGGAAACUCAGUGAGUGUGUUGACAACGAAAGUCGAAAACCACAAGAUGGAUUCUAUUCUCAAUCCCAGUCUCUGCCCAAGCAUUCUCUCAUGUUUUGGAAGGAGAGAGCAUUUUGGCGGAAGUGAAAUAUAGCCCACGUUCUGAUCUAAUGCCUACUUUGACGAGGACGGUUUUUCCCUCUGGAGGCUGGUCAGCGAAACAACACAGGAAGAGCUGGGCCAGUUGGAGUGAGAAGUAGGAGAAAAACGCUGUGUAUCUCACAAUAUCGGUGGUGAUACCCUGCUAAAAAAAGAAAACAGUGAAUAUUACAUGAUUUGCCGAAGUAAAUAAAGGUUAAAUAAGUACAA